ACGUAGGAUCCGAGCGUUAUCCGAAUUCACUGGGCGUAAAGCGCGUGUAGGCGGUUCGGUAAGUUGGAUGUGAAAGCUCCCGGCUCAACUGGGAGAGGACGUUCAAAACUGUUGGACUAGAGGGCGGAAGAGGGAGGUGGAAUUCCCGGUGUAGUGGUGAAAUGCGUAGAUAUCGGGAGGAACACCAGUGGCGAAGGCGGCCUCCUGGGCCGCACCUGACGCUCAGACGCGAAAGCUAGGGUAGCAAACGGG
rnacentral:rRNA from 1 species